AGCGGACGCUGGCGGCAGGCUUAACACAUGCAAGUCGAGCGGGCACUUUCGGGUGUCAGCGGCGGACGGGUGAGUAACGCGUGGGAACGUGCCCUCUGGUUCGGAAUAACUCAGGGAAACUUGAGCUAAUACCGGAUACGCCCUUUUGGGGAAAGGCUUGCUGCCGGAGGGUCGGCCCGCGUCUGAUUAGCUAGUUGGUGAGGUAACGGCUCACCAAGGCGACGAUCAGUAGCUGGUCUGAGAGGAUGAUCAGCCACACUGGGACUGAGACACGGCCCAGACUCCUACGGGAGGCAGCAGUGGGGAAUAUUGGACAAUGGGCGCAAGCCUGAUCCAGCCAUGCCGCGUGAGUGAUGAAGGCCUUAGGGUUGUAAAGCUCUUUUAUCCGGGACGAUAAUGACGGUACCGGAGGAAUAAGCCCCGGCUAACUUCGUG
rnacentral:rRNA from 1 species